AGAUUGAACGCUGGCGGCAGGCCUAACACAUGCAAGUCGAGCGGCAGCACGGGGUACUUGUACCUGGUGGCGAGCGGCGGACGGGUGAGUAAUGCCUAGGAAUCUGCCUGGGUAGUGGGGGAUAACGCUCGGAAACGGACGCUAAUACCGCAUACGUCCUACGGGAGAAAGCGAGGGGACCUUCGGGCCUUGCGCUAUCAGAUGAGCCUAGGUCGAUUAGCUAGUUGGUGGGGUAAUGGCUCACCAAGGCGACGAUCCGUAACUGGUCUGAGAGGAUGAUCAGUCACACUGGAACUGAGACACGGUCCAGACUCCUACGGGAGGCAGCAGUGGGGAAUAUUGGACAAGUGGGCGAAAGCCUAGAUCCAGCCAUGCCGCGUGUGUGAAGAAGGUCUUCGGAUUGAAGCACGUUUAAGUUGGAGAAGGCAGUUACCAAUACGUAUCUGUUUUCGAACGUUUACCGAACAAGAAUAAGCCAACCGGUCUAAACUCUGUGCCAGCCAACG
rnacentral:rRNA from 1 species